AUUUAAUCCAAACACAAUAAAUUUCAUAAAGUUUCAUAAAAUUCAUUUACAUACCGAAUACUACCUUAAUUUAAACAAUAUUAUAAAAAAAUCUCAUUGUCUUGCACAAACAAGCUCAGUUUACAAAAGUACAAUUUAACGUUCAGACUAAUUGACAUAGUGCUAUCCAGCAAGCUCAGGCCUGAAAGCGAAAAGCAAAAGGCAAAAUGGGUUGAGCAGUGCAACAGAUUGCUUGUUAGCACAUCUGCCCUAUGGCUCAUUAGCGGUUUAAUUUCAUUUCAGUGCGUUUAGGCUCUAGUAAUAUGCAGAAAGCACUCUUCGUCGACCAGAUAAAGCCUUUAUUCAAUAAUUGAAGAACCUUUUUUUCUCUUUCCCUCGCACUUGCACUAAAAUGGCAAUCACAUUAGUAUGGGCUAUACCGGCUGCGUCGGCUACUGUCAUUGCUAUGUCUUCCACCACUUGAGCUGCCAGCACCUCCACCCCUGCCGGCCCGAGGCUGUGGUGGAGGGGCGUGUGGUUGCAUUCCAGGCUGUUGCAAGACAUAUCCAAUCCUUCCAUCAGGUAAAAGCAUUGGCAUCAUUGCCAUACCAGCAGGAGUUGGUCCUCUACCAUAAAUCACUGGUUGUGCAAAGCCAGCAGCACCAUAACCUGCACCUAGAGCACCAUAGGUACCCCCAACUAAACCAUAUCCAAGACGGGGUGGGAAGGUUGGAUGCAAGACAGACUUCUGUGAAUUUGGCCCUCCAGAAGACUUCUGAUCUGCUUGAGGCUUAGCAAGGGAGCACUCCAAAACUUGGCCAUCAAUUUCAUAUUUCUCAGUGUUCUUCAAUGCCUUCAUGGCACUCGACCUCUCUGCAAAGUGCACAAAACCAAAUCUGCUCCUUUCAUGCCCUGCUUUUGCAGGAGGGAGAACCACUUUUGUAACUUUUCCAUGAUGUUCAAACAGCUUUCUCAAGCGAUCCUGAGUAAUGUCUUUUGGUAAGUUCUUCACAUACACUGCCUUGACCUGAGAAGCAGCUGAAGAUCCUGCAUUUUUAGGGUCAGCCCAGCUCACAGUUGGAGCAUUAUCAUCCAGUUUAAAUUUUGGGGUUGACAUCUUUUUUCUUGAGUAUUCUGCACAAGCAUGAUUAUAAUACUCAAUGAAAGCAAAUCCACGAUUCCGGUUGGAGUUCUGUGGGUCCUUCAACAAUUCCACAGAAAUUACUCCUGGCCCAAUCUUCAUUACAACAUUCUUCAUAUCUUCCUCUUCCCAGUUUCUUGGAACAUUACCGAUAAACAACCGAUGAUUUGCUUGAGAUGUUGAACAUCUUAUCUUUUUCCCCUUAAGCUCAGCAUUGUUCAGAUCUUCAAUCGCCUUGGAAGCUAACUCCUUUGAUCUGAAGGUCACAAAAGCAUACCCCUUGGCCUCACCUGUAUCUUUUCCCUUCAUUAUCCUUACCUGUUCUCAGCAUAUACACAAAUUUAGUCUGUCUAAAUAAGAAAUGCAGGUGAGGCAUUUAUAAUGACAACAUAACUUACUUCUGUGACUUCUCCUAUAGAUUCACAAAAACCCCUGAGAUCCUCUUCAGUGGCAUCAUGAGGAAUGCCACCAAGGUACACCUCUGAUCCAUGAGGAGGAAGUGCAAGAAGUUCAGCACGAUUUUUUCCCUCAUCUUCCUCCUCGCUGUCUGAGCCUUUUUGUGCAUCAGCCUCGUCUGCUCUCUCCUCAAUUUCUUCCUCUUCUUCCACCUCCUCUUCUACUUCUUCCUCUUCCUCUAUCUCCUCCACUUCCUCCUCUUCCUCUACCUCCUCAUACUCAACUUCUUCUUCCAUUGUCUCCUCUUGUUCAUUGUCACCAUCAAGGUCAACCCCUUCUUCAGAUUCAACAGGCUUUUCAGAUUCAUCAGGUUUGUCAGCAGCCACAGCAAUACCUCUUGUCCUUGGCAUCUUAUGUGUCUAAAGAAAAAGCUUGCAAGGCAACUGUGAAGGAAGCACAGAAGCCAGAAGCAUUCGCAGAAGAAAGAGUACAAGUACGGAAAGGUGGAAACAAAAUGAGAGGCCAAAUGGAGUUGCAGAGUAAGAUUCUCAACUGAAUUUUUCCCAUCAGAUAUGGAUCCAAGGAGUUCCAAUGCGAAUGAUAAUCAAUUACGGGAUAAUGAUAAAGUAACAGUAGUUAUAGAGACAGGCAAGAGAGAAUUACGAAUGAUAAUCAAGAGGAUGAUGAUGCUCAACAGGUGAAAAAUACAUAUGUAUAUAUAUAAUAUGAAGCAGUGAAUUUCUUGAUAUUUAGAUACUGGCAAUGGCCCAAAAACAACAGCCAGUUGAUUGUUUAACUAUAUGU
rnacentral:misc_RNA from 1 species